rnacentral:tRNA from 1 species
GCCCCUUUAGCUCAGUUGGAAGAGCACGAACCUUCUAAGUUUGUGGUCGGGAGUUCAAAUCUCUCAAGGGGUG